rnacentral:rRNA from 1 species
GAUGAACGCUGGCGGCGUGCCUAAUACAUGCAAGUCGAACGCUUCACUUCGGUGAAGAGUGGCGAACGGGUGAGUAAUACAUAAGUAACCUGGCAUCUACAGGGGGAUAACUGAUGGAAACGUCAGCUAAGACCGCAUAGGUGUAGAGAUCGCAUGAACUCUAUAUGAAAAGUGCUACGGGACUGGUAGAUGAUGGACUUAUGGCGCAUUAGCUUGUUGGUAGGGUAACGGCCUACCAAGGCGACGAUGCGUAGCCGACCUGAGAGGGUGACCGGCCACACUGGGACUGAGACACGGCCCAGACUCCUACGGGAGGCAGCAGUAGGGAAUUUUCGGCAAUGGGGGAAACCCUGACCGAGCAACGCCGCGUGAAGGAAGAAGUAAUUCGUUAUGUAAACUUCUGUCAUAGAGGAAGAACGGUGGAUAUAGGGAAUGAUAUCCAAGUGACGGUACUCUAUAAGAAAGCCAC